rnacentral:rRNA from 1 species
CCUACGGGAGGCAGCAGUGGGGAAUUGUUCACAAUGGGCGCAAGCCUGAUGACGCAACGCCGCGUGGAGGAUGAAGGUCUUCGGAUUGUAAACUCCUGUUGCCCGGGACGAAAAGCUUCGACCUAACACGUCGAAGUCUGACGGUACCGGGUGAGGAAGCCCCGGCUAACUCUGUGCCAGCAGCCGCGGUAAUACAGAGGGGGCAAGCGUUGUUCGGAAUUACUGGGCGUAAAGGGCGCGUAGGUGGCCUUCUAAGUUGAACGUGAAAUCCCUGGGCUCAACCCAGGAACUGCGUCCAAGACUGGGAGGCUUGAAUCCGGGAGAGGGAUGCGGAAUUCCAGGUGUAGCGGUGAAAUGCGUAGAUAUCUGGAGGAACACCGGUGGCGAAGGCGGCAUCCUGGACCGGUAUUGACACUGAGGCGCGAAAGCCAGGGGAGCAAACGGGAUUAGAUACCCCGGUAGUCCUGGCCCUAAACGAUGAAUGCUUGGUGUGGCGGGUAUCGAUCCCUGCCGUGCCGAAGCUAACGCAUUAAGCAUUCCGCCUGGGGAGUACGGUCGCAAGGCUGAAACUCAAAGAGUAGUCGCGNGNGAGNGCGACGACGACGACGACGGAGGAGAGG